rnacentral:lncRNA from 10 species
CUCCAGCAUCCGCCUGGCACCUGACACCUCCCUGCUAGCCAGUCCCAGAGAGCUCUUUUCCUCCAGACUAGCUGGGGCUGGAACUGCUUAGAAUCGGACCCAGAAGAGGCCGAGUUCCGUCCAGGACUAAAGGCAGCCUCCAGGGAAUAAAGCUGUCAGUGUGGGCGCAGACUAGGGAAGGGGCACUAGGUCGUUCAAGCUGAAUGCUGGGGUUCCACAGCCUCCUCACACCCCCUUUAGUGCCUCAGGUAGAGUAGGCUUGUGGGGACACUGAGGUUUCCUCAGGUCCUUUCCCUGCUCAAUAACUCUCCAUGGCUCGCCACUACCCACUGCAUAAAGCCCUAACUCCUAUACCUGGCAUUUGGGAGCCUCUGUGAUUCCACUUCUUCAGUCUCUUCUCCUCCCUAAGCCCCCAUGCCCCAGCCACAGGGGCUACUUAGGUGCCCCUCCUGCUCCCCUUUCCCCUUGCACCCAAACCUUCUCUGCUCAUGUGCUAUUUCCUGGGGCCUUCUCUAGGGCUCAUUCCCUAGUUGGAGUUAAAUUCUGCUUCCAAGGAAUCAGCCACCCAAAUAACAAACCAGUCCACCUGAGAAUCUAGUCUGUGAUGCAGCGUCAAUAGCUUCUGAUGAAUUUGCUUCUGACCAGUAGCCUCCAGGGGUCAUAAAACAUUCACAGAGAGGAACACAGAGAAGAUGUGGGUCUUCAGGCUCAGAGAAGAGAAGGCAUUGUUUGCCCAUGAAUGUUUGCAAGUAAAUAGCAGAGCUGGGACUCAAAGAGUCCGGAUCUGGGGCUCCAUCAUGAAUCUCUAAGAGUGGCCCAGAGAUUCUCACGUUCCCUAGGUAAUCAUUCUGGCAGUCUGCUGCCUUUGCACAUGCUCUUCUCUCUGCUGAGAAUGGCCUUCCCUCAAUCCAUCUGGUGAACUCCUAUUCAGUCUUCCAAACCCUGCUUAGCAUGACCUCCCCCUUCCCAGAUGCUCUCUCUACUCACUCUCCUUCCCCUGUGGUACAAGUUCUGCACCUGUACAGAUUCUUAACCCUCUACGCUUGACUUGGUAUUGUUGCUGCUCAUUUCCCCUCUUGCUCCUCCUCCAGCUUGGGGCCUCCAUGAGGCUAACAAUGGGGUCACAUGUCUCUGUCCCUGGGAAAGUGGCCAGCAUGGGGCUGGCCCAGAGAAGGACAAGGUGGCUGUUUGGUGAGUGUGACCCAUGGGCUGAGUAAGGCAGACCCGCAACUGGGAAAAGGCAUAGACUGGAUGUGCUAAGAAACAAGGAGCUGUGGAGAGACUUUGAGGAGGGAAGUAGCAAAACCCAAAAGUCAUUCACCCACGUGCCUCAGCUGCAGAACCUGUCCUCAAGGUGCUCACAGGCUGAGGGAAGGCAGACAGAGGACAAGUGGCAACCUACAAAACACCAAAUGGGCUCCAUACUCAACCAAGGUGCCCCUCAGCCAGAACUGGACACAUUGCCAGAGAACUCCAGGGGUCAUCUGGUCGGCUCAGCCUCCCGGUUUCCGACAGACAGUAAGCCCACCAUGACUCCCUCCAUCGGGAAAGGGACCCUCAAGACUUUGAUCAGACCUUUGGACUGGGGGUCCUUCCCUUCACUGUGUCUCAAGUAAGGCACUGGUCUAGAGGAAAUAAGGUGAAGUCAGAUGAUAGCAAUACCACUACCAGUGCAGUGGCACAUGCCUGCACUCCCAGCUACUACGGAGGCUAAGGUGGGAGGAUCACUUGAGCCCAGGAGUUUGAGACCAGCAUUUAUUUAUUUACUAACAGACUAAAUAAAUAAACCAACAAUACCACCAACCAGUAAAUGAGAACUUCCAUGCUAAACACUUCAUGAGCUUAUCUGGAAAUUGCACCUCUCCUGAUAGCAAUGAGAUUGGUGUGGGAAUUCCAUUUACUCAUAAGAAGACAGCCUCGGCCGGGCUCAGUGGCUCACGCCUGUAAUCCCAG